CAAAAACUGAAGAUAAUAUGUGUAUAUGCUGAACGUUGCCGAUAGUACUUAGUUUGGUGAGCGACCACCAGAGCGGCGCUGCUUGCAGCCUCAGAAACCCGGGAACCGCGGAAGUUAAAGGUGUACUUUGAGUGUUCUUUGACUUUUUUUUUUCAGUGUCUACAUUGUGGUAGCUGCGCGCCUUACAAUAGCAGAAACAGGCACAUGAAUUCUUCAUGAGAAGGUGUAGUAACAUUUUACGGACUAAUUUGCAGAUGGCUUCACUUUUUAAUGCUCAAGUCAAGAAACAAGGCCCUGAUCAGUCCCCUCGUGAUCCAGAUCUUGAAACUAGCCAACUUUUUUUCGUCGUUCUCGAAAUAUCAUCAACUACCACAGCUAAAGAGCUACGUUUUCCAUGAAAUCAACUCUGAGGAACAGAGACGCCAGACAAGGCAAGAGCAAAGUGAAGAUUCUUGUGAGUCUGCCUUCAUUUCGCAAAUCUGCUGCUAUUCUGCAAAUCUGCUUUUAUUGGAGGCAGGACUCAUCCCAAAUCUCCAGACAGUCCUGUUGGUUCUCAGCAGAAAGUUCAAAAAAAAAAAAAAAAAAAAUAGAGCAACUCUUCCUAGAGACAAGUGCUGGAUUCCUCAAACAUGCUGAAAUGAAAAACAGCCAGGAAAGAUGACCAAUGCACUUUGAGGUCGGUGAUGCCUCGGAAACCACAUGCCUUGGACAUGGAGCACUCGUGUUUGCUGGGUGCCACACAGGGCGUGUCUGCGUGUGUUCAUAGCGAACGAUAUAUGACUUUGGUUAUGGAAAAUAAGUGUUAAGAGAGAGCACUCAUUGAUUACUUGUGACAGCGUGCGGAAUAUGCCUGGAAGAGGUGUUGAGAGGGGUUGCAGACCCAACGAAUAAGAUGGGUUCAAAGUCCCCAUAUAGGAAAAUGGAAUCUCGAAGACUUUAAUGACUUAUUAAAAUGUUGUGGUUAGUCAGACAUAAUGAGAUUAAAGGGGGUACUUACUAAAAAAUGAUUGGGAGAGGAAAACGAUAGUUUAACGGUUUUUUGGGUCAGAGUUAAUUCAUUUUAUUCCAUUUUUAUUAAUUGAUUUUGUUCCAUUGUAAUGUUUGCUAAUUUGGGAAAUAAAAAGUAUAUUUUUGUA